UACGUAGGGGGCAAGCGUUGUCCGGAAUCAUUGGGCGUAAAGAGCGUGUAGGCGGCUUGGUAAGUCCGCUGUGAAAGUCCAGGGCUCAACCCUGGAAUGCCGGUGGAAACUGUCAAGCUUGAGUCCGGAAGAGGCGAGUGGAAUUCCUGGUGUAGCGGUGAAAUGCGCAGAUAUCGGGAGGAACACCUGUGGCGAAAGCGGCGCACUGGACCAUAACUGACGCUGAGGCGCGAAAGCUAGGGGAGCAAACAGG
rnacentral:rRNA from 1 species